rnacentral:rRNA from 1 species
GAUGAACGCUAGCGGCAGGCUUAAUACAUGCAAGUCGAGGGGCAGCAUGAAUGUAGCAAUACAUUUGAUGGCGACCGGCAAACGGGUGCGGAACACGUACACAACCUUCCUAUAAGUGGGGAAUAGCCCAGAGAAAUUUGGAUUAAUACCCCGUAACAUAAUGAUGUGGCAUCACAUUAUUAUAGCUUCGGCGCUUAUUGAUGGGUGUGCGGCUGAUUAGAUAGUUGGCGGGGUAACGGCCCACCAAGUCUACGAUCAGUAGCUGAUGUGAGAGCAUGAUCAGCCACACGGGCACUGAGACACGGGCCCGACUCCUACGGGAGGCAGCAGUAAGGAAUAUUGGUCAAUGGACGCAAGUCUGAACCAGCCAUGCCGCGUGAAGGAUUAAGGUCCUCUGGAUUGUAAACUUCUUUUAUCUGGGACGAAAAAAGGCUAUUCUUAGUCACUUGACGGUACCAGAUGAAUAAGCACCGGCUAACUCCGUGCCAGCCGCCGCAGUAAGAC